rnacentral:rRNA from 1 species
CACGUAGGCACCAAGCGUUGUCCGGAUUUAUUGGGCGUAAAGAGCUCGUAGGCGGUUCAGUAAGUCGGGUGUGAAAACUCUGGGCUCAACCCAGAGACGCCACCCGAUACUGCUGUGACUUGAGUACGGUAGGGGAGUGGGGAAUUCCUGGUGUAGCGGUGAAAUGCGCAGAUAUCAGGAGGAACACCAGUGGCGAAGGCGCCACUCUGGGCCGUAACUGACGCUGAGGAGCGAAAGCGUGGGGAGCGAACCGG